AUUGAACGCUGGCGGCAUGCUUUACACAUGCAAGUCGAACGGCAGCGCGGGCUUCGGCCUGGCGGCGAGUGGCGAACGGGUGAGUAAUACAUCGGAACGUGCCAGUAGUGGGGGAUAGCUCGGCGAAAGCCGGAUUAAUACCGCAUACGACCUGAGGGUGAAAGCGGGGGAUCUUCGGACCUCGCGCUAUUGGAGCGGCCGAUGGCAGAUUAGCUAGUUGGUGGGGUAAAGGCCUACCAAGGCGACGAUCUGUAGCUGGUCUGAGAGGACGACCAGCCACACUGGGACUGAGACACGGCCCAGACUCCUACGGGAGGCAGCAGUGGGGAAUUUUGGACAAUGGGCGAAAGCCUGAUUCAGCAAUGCCGCGUGUGUGAUGAAGGCCUUCGGGUUGUAAAGCACUUUUGGCGGGAACGAAAAGGACUGUGCCAAUACCACGGUUCGAUGACGGUACCCGCAGAAUAAGCACCGGCUAACUACGUG
rnacentral:rRNA from 1 species